ensembl:lncRNA
UUCAAAUUUCUCAAGUUGUCCUCAGAGCCUGUGGCAGCUGCUGUUUUUACAGUCGGGAUCUCAUCGAGGGGCAAGCAUUGCAUUGGAUUACGAUGGUCACAUUGAAUCUAGAACAUCUAGGGGCUAUAAAAGAACGUGGGCAGAAAAAACAGGCCACCCACCAAAGGGUAAAUUACUGCACGAUCAAGUCAAGAAGCGAGGGCAGAGGCCUAUGGGAAAUGUAGUCCAAUCCAGACGGAUCACCGCGCAGCACUCUGGGAACGGGUCUUCUUCUGCGCAAGUGCCGUCCUAGCCUCGCCGCGUUUUUACGCAUCUGCAUCUUCCCGCGGAGCAGGUCCCACAACUUUCUCGGUCAGGCAGGCUGGAAGGAGCACACCUGGGGGUCCAACCGCCCUAUUCCUGGAGGGAGCCUCCUCUCCUUCUGGGAUGCUGAGACUUUGUGGAAGUGAAUUUAGAAGCCGCCGGGCAGGCCAGACCCUUCACGGUCUCCCGAGAGGUGCAGAAAAUGAACACAUCUCAGUGGUUAUUAUAUUUGUAUUCCUGCCUGUGAAGUGUUUAUUCAUAACUGGCAUAUUGAGCUCCUGAGGCGCUCCGUGCCCUGGUGUAAUUACCACGUAAACAGCCGACAAAGAUUUCUGCCCUCGUGUAGC